AUUGACUAUGGACCUCAUUGCAUGGGCAAAAAUCUUCAUCCUAGGAUGCUGCCGAGACGCAGGCAGGAUGAAGCCAAUGGAGCCCAUCACAUGAUACAGGGCUACUGCAGAGACACUGGAAGUAGCCCAAGAAAGAAGGAAGGCAAAAGAAAACAGAGAUAGGGGGAGAUAUGCCCAAUUAAAUGCACAAUUCCAGAGGCUAGCCAGAAGAGACAAAGAACUAUUUUUAAACAAGCAAUGCAUGGAAGUGGAAGAAGACAACAGAAUAGGAAGGACAAGAGACCUCUUCCAGAAAAUCAGAAACAUCAGAGGCAAAUUUCAGGCAAAAAUGGGCAUGAUCAAAAACAAAGAUGGCAGGGACCUAACAGAAGCUGAAGAGAUCAAGAACAAAGAUGGCAGGGACCUAACAGAAGCUGAAGAGAUCAAGAAAAGGUGGCGAGAAUAUACAGAAGAUCUGUAUAGGAAGGAUAAUAAUUUAGAGGAUAGCUUUGACGGUGUGUUGAGUGAACUACAACCAGACAUCCUGAUGAGUGAGGUUGAAUGGGCCUUAAGAAGCAUUGCUAAUAACAAGGCAGCAGGAGAUGAUGGGAUCAAAAAAGGGAAACGCUAAAGAAUGCUCAAACUUCCGUACAGUGGCACUUAUCUCCCAUGCCAGUAAGGUCCCCAGCUCUAGGGCUCACAGCUUAAGAGGAGGUGCCAACAAAAUGCUUCCACUCCUCCGUUAGUGCAUGAAUUCCCUACAAGUAUAUAAGAUCUGUACAGGGCCUGAUAUGACACCUGAAGAAGCUAAUAGGUAGAGCUACAAUAAACUUUAAUGCUCUUGAGUGUGUAACUAUAGAUACCGCAAGGUGAAUCAUUCCUUUCUACCUGGUGUAGACUAAAAUAUCACUGUGAUGUAUUUUAGCAUCAAUGUGUUUCUGUAUUUAAGGUGUUCCAUUAUCCAAGUAAGGAUUAUUCUGACUUUAGUUACUAGCGGAGCUUUCAUGUUGCUGCUUGCUAGCUGGUUCAGCUCAAGCUUGCGUCCUGUUUAAUCGACAUAGCCACUUUCACUCCUUAUAUGAAUGCCAUUUUCCAGCAUUAUACUAACUCAGCCUUCUCUAUUCAAUUGGAAUUGCACACUCUCAUCCAUUGUAUUAGGUUAGCACCUCCUUACCUAUAAUAAGUCUGAAAAAAUACAUAUCAAGGCUUCCUUCAUCAAAUGGAGCUUUUCAAUGACUUAUUAAAAGAACCCCUGUGGUAUUAGAAAAUGCAGGGUUACUGUCAUCUGGCUAAAAGAUCCUUUUGGAAAGCCUUCAUUUUCAUGUGUGUAAAAAGGCAAUUUCUUGACUAAACUCUUUGAUUCUGGUCUGAAUGAAAUCAAGUUUUUCAAAACUUUUUCCCCCAGCUGCCCCCAAAGGAUCACUUCUGUGCUAUGGGAUGUAAAGGACUAUGAAGCUUUUGCAUAGCUCCUCUUCAAUGAGCGCAUAGAAAAUGAUCAUUACUACUCACCACCAGUUUUUUAAAAUGAAAUUGAAUAAAAUCAGGUGAGAGGAAAGUAGGAGCUGCAUCCUUCUUAAUCAUGAACAGCUAAAGUAAAAAGAAGCCCUCUAGAGAAACCUAGCUCCAUGAUUACCUUCUCUGUAAUGAGGUUAAUAUGUACUGUGGCAGGAGAGUUCCCAAUUAAUGAGAAAUAGAUAGAGAUGGGGAGAGAAGCAGUGAAAUUAUUCCCCAUGUUAAUCUGUUAGCCAUGAGGUAUCUCAUUCUGGCUGCCAAAGAAAAUAUUAGAAUGAUGCACAACUUGGCAGAUGUUAGAUUCUGAAACCUAGAGAGUAGAGGGAAAAAUCAGGCUGCAGUUUGCAGAAUUUCCCAGUCAGUACAGUCAGUGGUUAUGCCAGUUGGGGAAGUCUGGGAGCUAUAGUCCAAAAAAGUAACUUCUUAAAAUGUCUACUAAAACCUAAGGAAUUUCAUCGAUGUCUGCAGGUGCAGCUACACUGUAGAAUUAAUGCAGUUUAAUACCUCUUUAAUUGCAAUAGCAUAAAUGCUAUAGAAUCCUGGGAAAUGUUUUGUGAGAUACCAACACCUUUUUAGAAGAGAAGACUAAAGACCUCGUAAAACUGCAAGUCCCACAAUUCCAUAGCAUUGAGCCAUGGCAAUUCAAGUAGUGUCCAACUGCAUUAAUUUUACAGUGUAUAUGCAUCCUGCUUCAUAUUCCUACAGGUAAUAUCCAGAGAAUAUUUUAUAGGGUCAUACUUUUCUCCACACAUACACUGCUGAACACUGUCUUAUAUUAAUUGGCUUUUAUCCCAGAGGUUAAUAAAUGUGUUCCUAACCUGGGGACAUUUCUUCAUGAAGCUGCAAUCAUGCCAGAGAGUGAGACUAAGACAAUCAGAAGCAGGCUCCCCAUCAUAAUUCUUCAUCCCAGCCUCACUUGCUGAUGGAAAGGGAACUAGAAACACCAUCCUCCUUCCAUCCCAAUUGGCAACUGAACAGACCUUUAUUUAAUGUGGUUGAAUGGGAAGCU
ensembl:lncRNA